ensembl:processed_transcript Gm20634 predicted gene 20634
GGCCGUUCGUCUGUUUGCGCUUUCGUGAUGUCCGGUCGUGGCAAGCAAGGAGGCAAGGCCCGCGCCAAGGCCAAGUCGCGGUCUUCCCGGGCCGGGCUACAGUUCCCGGUGGGGCGUGUACACCGGCUGCUGCGCAAGGGCAACUACGCGGAGCGUGUGGGCGCCGGCGCGCCGGUAUACAUGGCGGCGGUGCUGGAGUACCUAACGGCCGAGAUCCUGNNNNNNNNNNNNNNNNNNNNNNNNNNNNNNNNNNNNNNNNNNNNNNNNUGGCCAUCCGCAACGACGAGGAGCUCAACACCGUGCUGCUGCCCAAGAAGACGGAGAGCCACCAUAAGGCGAAGGGCAAGUGAGGCCACUGCUCGCGUCGGCCCGCGUCUCUGUGAUAUAACCCCCGCGAGCUCCCAAAAAGGCUCUUUUCAGAGCCACCCACUGAAUCAGAUAAAGAGUUGUGUCACGGUAGCCGGUCUUGGUGGCCUUUCCUGGCCCUGCCCCAAAAGUAAGAGUGUCGUGUCCUCUGCUUCCUUGCCCAUCCUGCCCGUGGUUCCCCCUGGUAGUUAGUCUGUUGUCGCUCUUUGGUUCAUGCCCUGCCUCGGCGGAGCGGAUACGCGGUUCUCGCUGACCGUCCCAAGCAUUUAGCCCCUAUCUGCCCACACCCUUGUCCUACACAACACUGUCCCUCACUCAGCGUCCACCCGCCUGACCCUUCCCAGGACUAAGACUCAACUAGGACGUCUAGGCCAAUCUAGACAUAAGUCGCAGUCAGCCGCGCUCUCGUCCGGUCCUUGGGGAAUGUCUAGGAGGAGGAGGUGUCCCGCGAGGACUGGACGCGGCCGGCUCUAGGGAUCAUGGGGGACUGGGGCUGGGACUGUGGCUGUGGCUGGGCGGUGCUGCACAAACACUAGAUUAGUUCUGCCCUGGGACUUUGGGCGGCGGGCGGGGGCGCGCGAGCUCCUCUUGGGCAGAGCCGGGACCCGCCCUCUACGGGCAGCUGCCAGACGUGGCUCCACCCUCGCAGAACGUUGGCAAGUGGACCGGGCGCGGGGCUGGACGUGGGGGGCGGGUGGGGGCGGGUCAGGUNNNNNNNNNNNCGUGGCGGGCCCGAGCCAAUGGGCGAGGUCGGGGCCGGUGACGCCACGGCCAAUGGCGCGGCAGCGCGGGAGUUUCAAGUCGCUGUCUCCGCCCCGCCGCGGGGAAGACUGCGCCUAUAAAGGCGGCCGGCUCGGGCCGGUAUCAGGUCCCCGAGUGCUCCUCGUUUGGGUGUCUUCCGUCUUAAGGCUCUUUUCAGAGCCACCACAGCUUCCCGGAAAGAGCUAUUCAGCUUUUUGUCUUUUAAUUGCCUUUGCAUUCUUCUAGGUUUCUGCAGUGGCUGGUGCUUACUGUCCACCGAGCCUCUUUUAAUAGUUGCCUAUAGUCGCUUAAGAAUGUGCUAAUUUCGGGGGCAAUUGCGAGCGCAGUGACUAAAAUAUCCAGGUGCUCAACCUCUGCAUUCCUCUUCUAACAUCAGUCUUAAUUCGUUUUUCUUUUAUCUUUUUCGUUCCCUUCUAAUGUAAUUUGACAUGAUAGAGCUUUUUCUUUUUUUAAAAUGAGCACCUGGCUCAUUGAAGCCAAGUGUCAGGCCUUGCAAGGCUACUUAUAUUGCCCUUUACAAAUUAGUAUACUUUAUUGCUAACAUGCGUUGCUUUUCUAUGUUUUUGGAGUAGAUGUUUACAGCCACCUUCCAAUGUUUUGAUAGUUUACUUGGGAGAUCCUCGUGUUCAUUACAUUACAGGUUUUAAGUUUUAGCAUUGAGUAUCUUAUCUGCCUGCUAUCAGGUGAGUUACUCCAUUCAAAUUUAAUUACUAUGAUGAUGGUAUGUAAGUCGUGUGUGUGUGUUAGAGGUACCACAUAGUAAAAGGCUGACCUACAAACAACGUUCCUUUGGUUCCAUUCUAAUUGUCCUAAUUUCAGAUUAUCCACUUUACUGAUAGAUAACUUUCCUUUCCCCCCUCUCAUCUAUUAGAAGUUCCUUGUCCUUUGCUCAAAACUCACAAAUCACCAAAUACUUUACAAAUGCUUUUGAGUUGUAUAACACUAUUCUGUCCAGACUCUUUCUUGCCUUAGUUAACACCCUCAACAACCCUGGUCUAAGAUUACAUGUUUAGCAAGGUUUCUCACUGUCACUAAGUAACAAUCUAGAAGGAGAAUCUUGAAAAUCCAUUUAAAUUUUAAAAAAUUUAGAUUUAUAUGUAUGAAUGCAUUUUGCACAUAUGUAUAUAUGUAUGUAUCAUAUGGCUACCUGGUACCUGAGGAGGCCAAAAGAGGCUGAUGGAUCCCCUGGAACUGGAGUUAUAGAUGCCAUGUGGGUUCUGGGAAUUGAAACCUGAUCCUCACCAAAGAUGCUAUUUGCUGAGCCAUCUCUUCAGCCAUUUUAAUUAUUUUUUAAUCCCAAUAAAAAUUUAACACACUGCUA